CACGUAGUUAGCCGUGGCUUUCUGGUUAGGUACCGUCAAGGUGCCAGCUUAUUCAACUGGCACUUGUUCUUCCCUAACAACAGAGUUUUACGACCCGAAAGCCUUCAUCACUCACGCGGCGUUGCUCCGUCAGACUUUCGUCCAUUGCGGAAGAUUCCCUA
rnacentral:rRNA from 1 species